CCACACCUAUUAAUCCUCUCUCAGUGUCCAGCUUCUUGUUAGUAGCAGCUGGUUGCAUGUUUUUUGCUUGUUCAGAUGAAACGGUUCAAGAAACAACUCAUAUCAACUCUUGAGAAAUGUCUCUUUUUUUUUUUUGUACACUUUCUUUUUAUGUUUUUAUUAAUUUCCCUUACUUAAAAAAAAACAAAACACCUGUCGUACCGUAAAACAUUUCACACCUCCCCUUGCCUGUUCUUAGAGUGUAUGUAUCUGUGGGACUGAACUAAAUGCAUGCACUGUAGUCGUCGUACUGGUAGCAGUAGAUGUAGUUGUAGAACAUGCAUUGUUGAGUUGAUAUAGAUAUCAUCAGCUUGAAAUAGCGUGUCCGUCAAAAGCAUAGCAUUGGUUUGAUUGGAAGAGUAGGGCUGUCAAGAAACCAGUGUACUCCUAAAGGCUUGGAUCCAUAGUACUGUAUUUGUUAAACCCCAUUAUCUGAAUUUAUAAACUGAACGUGGCUGUAGCUAACCUACAUCCUUUCCCACCACAAGAACUCACACGUACUCUUAUGUUGAUAGUAAAUUUACCUUAUUUUUCAAAUUAAAAAUCCUGGGAAUUAGAUCUUUGAAUAUGAAUAUGUUCUGUUGUUUUAGUUUGUAUUAGAAAAUUAAGGUUUUGUUUUAAAUCAUUUGUAAUCAUGAUUUCCUCAUUAAUCCCUCAACUGUCUGCAUUAGCCCAUAGAAUCAUUCUUUGCAGGUCUUAAAUUGUUUGUGCAAAAUGCAAACCACCCCAUAAGAUAGCUAAAUAAUAUAAUGUAUGUAAAACAGCUUCCUACCCGACUCUCCUGAGACACAAGGGAAUUGUUUUUAGGUCAUAAACCUCAAAUCUUGUUAUGCAACAGACUCUGUGCUAGUCAUGGUUUGUAUUCAUUGCCAUGUCGCUGGGCUUAAGGGAACAUUUUUAAAUUAAGAUUUAACAUUUCAUAAAUACCAGCAUUAGGAGUAAAAGACAAGUUCAUCAUCUUUGCCAUUGAGCCAACAAAUGUCUUUGCUUUUUGCACCCAGUUUUAUGCACUUAACUUUUUAAAUUGUUUUCAAAAUGAAUCAGCAGUGAAUAGAUUUAACAGCUAGUAAUUCAAGUCCUGAAUUACACUUUUUUUUCAUUUUAGUUUGUUGUUUGUCAGAAAAUAUCCUGCUGGGAGUAGAAAAGUUCCCCUACGGUGCUCAUACUCCCCCCAUCUCCCUCCAAUAGAAUUAGGAGCUCUUCCUGUGGCCUAAAUGUUAGUUUUGAGCACAUUCAUAGCCUACAGAGUGUGUUCAAUGUAGUCUUCAGGACACUUAUCUCAGCAAAUGUUAUUGAAAGAAACAAAGUAUCUGGAAUGUGCUUUCCAGAUGCAAUUAAGAAUUUGCAUUUGCUCCUUACCUCUGAUAGAGCAAAAUAAAUUAGCCAAAGAACUUCUUGGAUGUAGUUGACACAAUCACAAUCCUAUAGACAUCUGUACUAUCUGCUGGAUGCAUGGUGCACAAGAUUUCCCUUUUUGCUAGUGAAGAGUUGCAACGCUUAUACAUCAAAGGGAGAGACGGGAAUAAUUUACCCCUUAGAUUUCAAUCUGUUGCAGAGAUGUGGGGACCCACUGUUUAAUGUGCAAGACAUGAUGAAAUGAGGAAUGUAUCUAAAAGUUAGCUGAGCGGCAAAUUGCAGAGGGUGUAGAAAUCCAUGUCUUACACUUAAAUAAGGUGCACUAAAAAUAUUUAGUCUUGUCAUUAAGCACUGAUUGUGUUAGCAAAUUAUAGUAAUAAAAUAGUGGGACAACAGUCGGUCUGUGUGUGUGGAAUGAGGGAAAUCUAGAUCAACACGCUGAAAUGUCAUAAGGACCAACAGCUGAACAAUCUAAUGAUGAACCAACUUGGAAUUUAUACUGCCGAUUUAGGAUAUUUUCCUUUGGAGUGACAGCUCAAAUGGAACUGCACUCCUUUUUUUAUUUUACUAUAUAAAAAUACAUAAAAUUUAAUCCAAGCCAUGUAAUCUGAAAAACCAGAACCUAACAAGCAGACCACCUGGGAAAAGGAAGCAGGCUGAAAUUUCUCACUCCACUGGAACAUCCAGUAAUUACUUGACAGAGGCUGGCAACUGGAACACUCUGCAGAGUUGAUGCAUCUAAAAAUUAGCAGCUGCUCAAGAUUUUUAUCCUUUGCUCAUCUUUAUAAUAUUAAGGCUGCGUCUGAAAAUGUUGGUCUGAGAAGAAGGCAUGAAAUGGAAGAACCCCAACCAUUUUGUACCUACAUAAUGGUGUGUCCUUGCUGUAGGACUCCUUCAUUCCCAGUCGGUUAAAUGAGCUCUUCUAUCUUGUGGAUUAAACAGUUGAAUGCAAACAAAAGGAAAAUGUCUCCUGUUAUAGGAAUAGAAGUAAAAGAAACCAAACUCUGUGCUGAAUAAGCACAUGUCUGAAGGGGAAAUACUCCAUUUUCUUCUAGGCAUGUGCAACACGGCUGUAGAGAUGAGGUCAUGCAUUUCCUUGAGAGGUGUUUUUUCAGCCUUGUUAGUGACACCUCUCUUCUCCUCGCUAUUUUAUGUGCUCUGCAAUUACUUCCCUGAAGGACGCGGGGUUGUUUUGUUUCGUUUUUUAAAAAGGGAAUUAAAGCAGAAUCAUUUCUAUUACAGGUCUAAAGUCAUACGUUGAUCCAAGAUAAUUUCAAAGCCAUUAUAGAAAACAUAUGCCUGGAAGUGCCUUCCAGGGCUCAAACCCCACAAAAUACCUGUUUAUAUUAUUUUAUUGUUGGAAACGUUUUAUUUAUCCUUGAGGAACUGAACCUCUUACGGAGCCAUAUAAAAAUUUCAGCACAUUUAAAAUAAUCUGCUGCUGUGCCAGGCACUGACCUUGGUUAUAGUCAUUUUACAGGGCUCCUGCUUGAAGUCUAUUGUGGUUAAAAUACAUCAGCUUUAAUCAAUAACUUUGUAAUAGAAAACCCUGUGCACUUGAUAAAUCAUCUCCAGGGCAAUUAGUGACCAGCUCUGAAGUACAGACUUAAGUACAGCAUGAGUUAAUCUUUAAUGAAUAUAGUAGCUAACUUUUAAUGGUUUUUUCAGUCAGUGGAAUUAUUUUCAAUGGGAAAACAGUUGUCCACAGAGAUCAUUCCGGGUACCAGGGUGCCUCUCUUGACACACACCAAGUGGUGGCUCCACAUAAGCUUGAACGGUAUUGUGAUCCAAACAGGCUAAUCAUGCAUUCAGGAGAAUGUUUCCGUUUCAGAGCACUGAAAGUUUUACGCUUGACAAGUAGAUUUGACUCUAUUCUAGCAAAGUGCUGGAACAGCCAGUUAAUGUCAUUCAGAUUUUUUUUUAGGGACAAAGCUCCUAGUUGUUGGAAUGCAGCUUUAUUUUACAUGAUGUAACAAGCCCUUACGUGAGUUAUCAGCAAGGUUUGAAACCAAUCAGGCCCCAGUUCAGGAAAGAGUUUAAGUAUGUGCCUAAAUUUAAGCAUGUGAAUAGUCCAGUUGAUUUCAAUGGAACUAGUUACAUGUUUAAAGUUAAGCACCUGCUUAAGAAUCUUGCUGAAUCACAACCCAACAAGGCAGUACAAAUUGAGCGUGAUACCUUCUAUGCAGAGUAGCUGCUAAAGGUGUAAACCACACACAUUUUACAAGCUUUUACACUAGUAUUUUCAAAUAAUUUGACCCCGAAACGCAGGAGAAAGUUAAAUACAGUGAGUACAGAGACAAUCUUUUUCUCUCCCUCCCCCCCCCCUUUCUAUUUGAGAUACAGGCAAGUAAAAAGGAUACAGAGGUCUUUUCACUACAGCAAACUUUUGUAUCCAUCUGCCUUGGCAUUAACUUGAAGGGAUAAUAAAAGCCAGGGAAAGUAGAAUUGAACGUUAGUUAUACGGACCUUCACUAUUGGGUGGAAAAAAAGUCAGACAGCAAGUUCAUUUGAGUGUUGUUUGGUAAUUGCAGCAAAGGAUCAGAACCAAGGGCUGUAUUCCUCUGAAUCAAUGUGUGACUAUGUGCAAGUCACUUCAGGGUUCUGUGCCUCAGUUUUCCUCUCUGUACAAUGGGGGGAAUAUUACCUAUCAGGGUGGGGGGAGAUACAAUUAGCAUAGCCACAGCACUUUGUGGGAAAGUACCACAUGAGCGCAAAGGAUUAUUGUUAUACCCUGACUUCACUCAGAUGGCUUCCAUUUUUCUUUCAAAAUCUCUUUAGGUCUCCAUUGACUCUUCCCUAAGGGCUGUGUCUCAAGUGUCAUGGCAAACAAUGAUUGCCUUAAAGGUGGCCUAAUGAUGGCUCCUAUGUGGUCACUGCUAAUGUUUUGCCCUUAUGCUACAGAGAUUCCCAGUGCCUUCAAUGGGUGCUGGAUAAGGUCUGUAGGUAGGAGAUUCAUUUCCUCUAAUGUCAAUGGCAGCAUUCACGUGGAACAGUUUGGAAACUUCUGAGCAUUAUAAGGCUAGAAAAACUCCUCCUGGUGUCCUAGAAUAACAUCAGUGUGCUCUUUCUUGUUUUGGCAUCAUUGUUCAGAGUACAUAACACCCCCCUCUACCAUCCCCCCAUCUAUGUCCUCUCGCUAUCUUUUUUGCUCAUAGAAAACUGCAGCUACGACCUGUGGUACCAAGGACAAAAUACUAUGUGGGCGACUUGCCUGGAAAACAUGCAGCAUCUAAGGGCAAAAUCUGAUUCCUACUCAAUUUAGUGCAGAGCUGUUUGAUCGCAUGGUGCUGGUGUCUCUUUACUUCCAGUUGCAGAAUAGCAUUAAAGGGGGAAGCCUAGAAUACUUUCCUAAUACCGUGUUACUUUUCCAACUAAACAAAUGCAGACAUGAAUAGAAUGGGAGGCUUUCCAAGAGCUGAUUUCUCUGUUAAAAUGCAGACCGCGCUAUGAAGGAGUUUCAGAACCUCUGGCUUAAUUGGAUGGACUGGUCUCUUUUAGCUUCACUCUUGGAAUGACUUUUUCUUUUGCUUAUCUGUCAGUGCAGUUGCCUCACCCAUAAUUGCUUAAUAUCAUAUACAUGUUUGGCUAGUUAAUUCUAAUCAGUUUAAUACCUGUGCCUUGUGUAAACUCCUGGUAGAAGAUGAUCUUCCAUAGAACGAGGGUGGGUUUUUUUCCUUUCCCUUUUCUGUACAGUCCUGCAUGUUUCCAUACAGUGAUCCAUAGGCAGGUGUGUGUAUGAAGGAGAUGCUUUAGGAGCAGAAUGUGAAUUACUACUGUGAAUUAAAAUAUUAAGUAAAAUGAAGUCCCAGUUUUGUUUUAAUUUGGCUCUUCCACUGCCUGUUAUUGUACAAAAGGCUUCAAUUUAAAAUUAACAGAAAUGAUAGCCGGUUAAUGUGUUACAGUGGGAGGCCGAAGUUUCUGUUGCCAUGGCAAUGGAGUUCGGCUCAUUUGUUUUGUAGAUGAGUAAUUACUACGCAAUUAGAGUAGGCUAAAAAUAAAGGGGCCCUUUGUUCCCAGUUACUCAUUAAUAUUAAUAAAAGGUCUGUCCAGGCUGUGAUAAACAAUUAAUGCAAAUGUGGUUGCCCAUGGUAUAAGUAGCAACAGAUUUCUUAUCCUCCAAUAAGAGGUGAUCAUGCCAGAGAGGUUUGCUCUUCCCUCACUUUAAAUAGCAAAAUUAUUAGUAAAUAAUUUCAUGUGAGAGCAAGAUUACAGGUAAAAAACUUUCCCUGUUUGCCUCUUGGUAGGAUGUCAGUAAAGGGGUAAGCCAUGGACAGGCAUGUGCAAGUCUGUUAGGACUUUCUCCUCAAAAUCUGAGAUGGGUCAGAUCCUGCAAUGUGCUGAGCACACUCAACAUCCAUUGAAAUCGAUGGGAACUCAGGGUUCUCAGCACUUCACAGGAUUCAACCUCAGGUCCUGGUUCUGCAAACGUUUGCUUGUGUCACUUGACAUCCACAGGUAGUGGGGCAAACCACAGCCACUUUCCGAAAGCAUUUUUCAGGAUCGGAGUCUAAGUCCGCCACUUUAAAAGAGCAUAGAGGCUGGAGGAGCAUUGAGAGUUGAUUUGGGAGGGCCAAGAAAGGAAUCUGGUAUGAGAUUUGCAAGUGUCUCAAGGGAAGUUACUUUCAAAGGGAGUUGGGUUCCUAACUCCCUUAGGCACAUCAGAAAACGCCAGCUCUGAAGCCAAAGAGUUGAAAUUAGAAAAGAGCCAUUUACCUUAUCUCAUGAUAAACACUUCAUUGCAGUACUAUGUUAGAAGGAGAGGAAAACUUCAUCAUGUAUUACAGCCAUGUCAAUAUUAGGUGUUGUGUCCCCAAACCCCCCUUGGGCUAGGUGCUGUACAAACACCAAGACGAUCUCUGCCCCCAAAGAGUUUACAACCUAAAUAAACUAAAAUCUGAGUCAAUUUCUUUUGAAAUGUAAAGGCAUUACAGUUACCCAAAGCAGGAGGAGGGAAGUGGGUGGGAAAGGGAGGAGAGUGGGGAAGGUGCAGUAGAAGUGAAAGAAAACAGUCCUGAGCAUUUAGCGUAAAGUAUCUAAAGUGUUACAAUACGUUAGAUUUUAAAUUAACUUUAAAUUCCAGUACCAUUAGAUUGAUACCUGUUUGUAAAAUGUCUGAAAAGUCAGAAUUUAUUCACAUAUAGUAUUUCUAUAAAUUAUUAUUGUUUGGCUGCCUUGGCUUAACUGAUAAGACAUGCGAGUGUGUGCUGUGGACCUAUUUUGGUGCAGUCUGUGGACAGUAAUGAAAUGAUUUGGUGAUGAUGAUGCAAGCUACGUGCCAGAUUGAACUCCCCACGUGCACAUGUGCUCAGAACCUUUGGCAAGGGAAGCCUUGUGUUGGAGAUGUGGCUUUCUAGUCUGGUUUGGAGGCUUUGAAUCAGCUGUCAAACUGACGGUGCAUGGGCCCCAUCCCUUUUGUUACUUGUGCUGCUCCUUGGAAGCGCCAGAGGAAAGACAAAAAGCAUUCUGGGCUGCUGUUUCCUGGAGUCCCUCUCUGCUCAGAUGUGGCAUCACUUCAGAAGAGGGGAAAGGACGGUGUGGCAACUUUGGGUGGGUGGAGGGUGUUUCCACAAAUUAAACGUGCAUCAUACAGUCUGAUCAACCAACUGCCACAUGCUAAAUAGUGGUGGUUGUAGCUAGAAUAGGCUCUUUUGAGCAGCUUCCAGCACUGGCCGCCAUGGUGCUAGCAGUAGUUUACAGGACACUGGCAUUUUUAUCACUUGGUAACCCUCCUCAGCUCAGAGCAGAUAUAGAUGAGACUGGGCCAGCAGCCACCUGAGCCCUGUCACUCCUACCAGUGGGAGAUUCUCCCUCCCCCCCAAAAAAGAAGCGUAAACAAGGCCUAAGUACUCUCAAUCCUUGUGUUUAUUUUGUUGGCACUCACCCAAGCUGCAGCUCUGUCCUCCAUCCUGUCCCUUUGAAGUGUCACAGCAGCACAGCGAGCAUUCUGGGCUGUCUCCCUUUCCCUUAUCAUGCAAAAUGUCUGCCUAGCCAGGUUUGCAUCCUCAGCCCCUUGUAAGCCUGCAGAACCACUCACCAGUACGUGCAUCCAAGCCACAGACAUCUCUGGCCUCAUCACUCGACGGUAGCCUAACCAAGUGACGUCAUCCAGCCUGGAGAUUAGAUGAGGUCUCGGACUAGGGUGCAAGAUGUUCCAACGGGGAAAAUGGCAUAAAAAUGGCAUCUGCAUCCCUCCCAAACUGUUUAACUAAUGGAGGAGAAUGUAGCACAGCCUUUGUAAGGUUGACAUUUGUUUGUUGUUAAGGAUCUAAUUAGAAACAUGAGAGGGAGCUGAAUGGCUGCUUGCUCGGCUAAUUAGCGACAUGCACGAAGACCACUUUGAACUUCAAGGACACAAAGCUAUUAGCGCUUACAUCAAAAAUGGAUUAAACUUCUGUGCUUUUAUAAUGAUUAAAGAUGAGCCGCUUGAGUGGAAAUCCUUUUGUAAAGGCUGCGACAAGAGCUGGCUCCGUGAUUGCAGUUUCUACAAGUGAAGCUUUGCAUGGCCUCUGUGUAGUACUCUGGCCCCAUGCGAGAGUGACACCAUUAACUUGCAAUAUGGAAAAUGUGAUUAGGCAAUAAAUAUUGAUCGCUUGCAAAAAAUUACAGUUAAGCUGAGAAACGUAUUUAUUUCUCGUGGCACGUAAUUACGGGACUCAGAAGAGACAGGCUUGAAUAGAUUGUAUUUUGUGUCUUCUUGCAAAUCAGUGCACGUCAAGUAUUUUUAAUACUCCAACAUCAUUCUAACAGGCCCAUAUCCAAGCUAGGGCUUGAAACAGGCUAACAACAGCGGUGUUCGUCGGUAGUUGCUGCGAGUACAGUUACAGAGAGACUUUUAUACCACCUAUUCUUGUUGCAACCAUGGAUUUACCCCCCUCUUACAGCCAUUUUACUGUGACGUCACUGACGGGUUGCGUGCCCUGACUCUCUAAUAACACCGCAUAGUCUCAGCUAUGCAGUGCGUCUGCACUUCAGUUGGCUUGGCUUGCGCCCAGUUUAGGGAACGGGCAAAGUUCCAUCUCUUCUACACCAAAAGAAAUGUGUUGGAAAAGAGUCGGGGGCCUUCAUGUUGUAACUGAGUCCCUGUCUGUAGUUGUAAUUGUCAUGUAGAUAGGUCCCGGUUAGUUUAUAUGUGGUUUUUGAACAUGGUUUGGAUCAUUAUUAGGUGUGGAUUGGAGCAGUGUUAAUGCUUAUAACUGUGCCUGUAGUGUGGAUAGGGUUUAGGAGCAUACCAUUCCUCUGACACUUUGUUCAGACCUCGCUCAAGCUGCUAUGUCUAGUAACCCCUACACCACAUGCUACCAUUUUGCUGUUAUCCCUGCAAGAUGCUGAUGUGAAAGUUACUGCCAAAGGGACUGCAGGGAGAGGACAACCCCUAACCUGUGAUUGCAGAUAGAAAAUAACAUACAAAUGGUACCUUGUUACUGCAGAUAUCAGCUCCUUUAAUGUCUUCUGGAUGCAUAGCUGCUUAUUUUACUGACAAACGCAAGGUUUUAGUGUAAGGCCAGUACAGCUGCAGAGGAGAGACAGCUAGGUCCCACUCUAUCUCAGACCCGACCAGCACAGCUCUGAUGGUAGAACCCAAGUUGGUGGUGACAUAUGAGGCAGACAGAACAAAGCUUGAUUUUCGAAGGACAGGACUGAACUUGCUGACAGAAAAAUGUCACUGGCUUUCAGUUAUGAACUAGGGGACCUGACUGGUGUGGGGGAUCCUGCAGAAGGGUGUUUGCUUUUUAAGCAUACUGAGAAGAGGCUGAAUAGAUUUGCUGCAACUUGUAAAUCUCCACCCUAGAGUUGUUGAACGGAAUCUAUUAUAUUUGUCAGACUGUUUGCUCUUCCGUCUUAUGCAUCUUCUGACUGGUUAUCUGUGAGCUUCUGGGUAUAAUGUUGUGACCCUCCAGCAUACCUGUAUGUAGAAUCAUAGAUUGUCAGGGUUGGAAGGGACCUCAGGAGGUCAUCUAGUCCAACCCCCUGAUCAAAGCAGGACCAAUCCCCAAUAUUUGCCUCAGAUCCCAAAUGGCCCCCUCAAGGAUUGAAAUCGCAACCCUGGGUUUAGCAGGCCAAUGCUCAUACCACUGAGUUAUCCCUCCCCCCCAAAAAACACAUGCUAGUUUAGUGAUCACAUAUAUUCUUUCAUUAUACUAUAGAAUACAAGAGGUGGAAGGGACCUCAGGAGGUCAUCUAGUCCAACCCGCUGCUCAAAGCAGGACCAAUCCCCAAUUUUUGCCCCAGAUCCCUAAAUAGCCCCCUCAAGGAUUGAACUUACAACCUUGGGUUUAGCAGGCCAAUGCUCAAACCACUGAGCUAUCCCUCAGUAGCAAUCUUGUUAUCCUCAGGAGAUUCUCUGGUUUGAUUGUUGAUCUUAAUUUGAAAUUUCAUAGAGUUUAAGCCCAGAAGUGACUAUUAGAUCAUCUAGUCUAACCUCUUAUGUAUCACAGACUAUUAAUUUUUACCCAGAUACCCAUAUAUUAAGCCCAGAGACUUUAGUUUGAUCAAAACAUUUCAGUCCUCAGGAAACAUGCCCCAGGAAGGGACCAAAGUGUCUGGCAGCAGUUGGUCAUUGACAGAAAGCGAUAUUCCGUGUGUGAAAUACACACUGAAGGAUUAGAGCUUCUGGGGCCUGAUCAUAAAAGAGCAUACUGUACCUAGCAGCAGAGCUAUAUAAGGCUGUUGAUAAGUAGCAAAUGGAUUUAGAAGAGGCUGGACUUGGUAGCAAUGUGAUGUUUGCUACUGCAGCAAGUAAGAGAAGCAGUAUAUUCUAAUGGAUCUGAAUACAGGACUAAGAGCCAGGAGUGUCUGCAGACUGUUUCAGGUUCUGCCACAGACUUGCCCAUGUGGCCUUGGCUAGUCACUUAGAGGUAUGUAGCACCUCUGAAAACCAGGCUCUCUCUCCCAUGAGCAUAAAUGGGAGUUCAGUGCACAGCACCUCUGUAAAUCAGAUUAUUAGCCUCUCUUUACUCACCUGUAAAAUGGGGAUAAUAAUACACCAAAGUCGUGGGGACUAAUUAGUUAAUGUUUGUACAGGGCUCUGAAGAUGCAGAAUGAUAAUAGGAUAAUCCAAUAUUGUAGCUGCAUUUUUAAACGGUCUGGAUAAUGUUAUGAUCAGCAAUAACCUCUGCAGUCAUGCAUGCUGAGUGAUAAUCAAAUCUCAUGCUUCAGAACAUUAUUUGAUUUCCAGAGGGGUCAGGAAGGAGAUCUCUGCCCCACCCCUAGCUUAACCAGUAUUGCCUAAUCAGCCAGGUGUAUGACAUUUUCCUUUCACCUUCCUCUGAAGCGUUUGCAUAUUGGCCACUGACAGAGACAGCAUACCAGAUGCGAAUGACUGAUCUACUCUGCUUCAGCAAAUUCUGUUUCCAUAUAUUGCCAUACCUGAUGUGUUAGGGGAAGGCAAAAAGAUCUCUGAAUGCAAAUGGCUGCUUGUGGUCAUCUCAUGUCCUGACGCGUGAGAUCUGCUUACCUUUUAUUUUAGCAUCUGUAACUACAAACAAUCUGUAACAUUAACCAGCUCCUUUUAAAAUCCAGCUACAGCACUUGAUUCUCAAACACUCCUAGCUCUUUACACCUUGAAAGCACUGUGUAAAUAGUAAUGAAUGGAAGCUACCCUUCGUGAAAGAGGAGUCGUCUCUCUCCUCCCACCUCUAUAGCACUAUAAUGCUUGGAGCUAUUGGGGAUAUUAACCUACAUAUGUAUAUGUGAGUGUCUAGGCGCGCACACACGCUGUCUGAAGUGACUGAUGGUUUUGGGUGCCUAGCUUGAGAGACCUUAAAGGAGCAUGAUUUUCAGAGGGCAAGUGCUCAGCACUUUCUGAAAAUCAGGCUCUUUCAUGGUCUGUCUAGUUGGGCAAUUAAAAAAGGAGGCACCCAAAAUCAUUAGUCACAUUUCAAAAUGUAGGCUGUGUAUGUAUAUCCCUCUAUCCGAGCUGUCUGUACAAGCACCUAAGAAAACCAGAGCGGGAGCUCAGUGAAAA